UGGGGAAUAUUGGACAAUGGGCGCAAGCCUGAUCCAGCCAUGCCGCGUGGAUGAUGAAGGCCCUAGGGUUGUAAAGUCCUUUCGGCGGGGAAGAUAAUGACGGUACCCGCAGAAGAAGCCCCGGCUAACUUCGUGCCAGCAGCCGCGGUAAUACGAAGGGGGCUAGCGUUGCUCGGAAUCACUGGGCGUAAAGCGCACGUAGGCGGACUCUUAAGUCGGUGGUGAAAUCCUGGAGCUCAACUCCAGAACUGCCUUCGAUACUGAGAGUCUUCGAGUCCGGGAGAGGUGAGUGGAACUGCGAGUGUAGAGGUGAAAUUCGUAGAUAUUCGCAAGAACACCAGUGGCGAAGGCGGCUCACUGGCCCGGUACUGACGCUGAGGUGCGAAAGCGUGGGGAGCAAACAGGAUUAGAUACCCCUGUAGUCC
rnacentral:rRNA from 1 species